GAUGAAGAACGCAGUGAAAUGCGAUAAGUAAUGUGAAUUGCAGAAUUCAGUGAAUCAUCGAAUCUUUGAACGCACAUUGCGCCCGCCAGUAUUCUGGCGGGCAUGCCUGUUCGAGCGUCAUUACAACCCUCAGGCCCCCGGGCCUGGCGUUGGGGAUCGGCGGAAGCCCCCUGCGGGCACAACGCCGUCCCCCAAAUACAGUGGCGGUCCCGCCGCAGCUUCCAUUGCGUAGUAGCUAACACCUCGCAACUGGAGAGCGGCGCGGCCACGCCGUAAAACACCCAACCUCUGAAUGUUGACCUCGAAUCAGGUAGGAAUACCCGCUGAACUUAAGCAUAUCAAUAAGCGGAGGA
rnacentral:misc_RNA from 1 species